GCGCACAGUGGCUUAGUGGUUAGCACGUUCGCCUCACACCUCCGGAGUUCGGGGUUUGAUUCCCCCAUGUGUGCG